AUGCCACUCUACUCUCUUCCUGCUCGAUCUCUAUAUAUCACUUUGUCUUCUGCUCUGCGUCGUCCUUGCGUUGCGGGUAUACUUUCCGAUCUCGUCAUGUGAGGGGGGUGAUCUCUCCACGGUUUGAUUGAUUGCAUAUACAGGGCAUGGCUGUCCGUGCCACCUUCGAGUUUACAGUACCAUUAUCUCUUGCUCCGGAAGGGCAGAACCUCAGCGCACCAUGUGAGAUUUCAGCCAACCACAAAAAGGUAAGGCCAUUUGCAAAUUAUUACAGGGCGUCUUGUCUACUCUUCUGUUCCGAUGGUUUUUAUUAACCCGUUUCUCAGUUCUUUGCAUGGCUUUCUCUGUUCUAACUAGUGUGAAUUCCCAAGCUAUAAGAUCAUAGGCUUUACUCUUAGUCACUCACUACAAUUACAUAAAUAGCUUUCAGCAAUCUAUAUGUUAAAUUACUGUACCAAAGAGUUAUAUGUGAAGUGGUAUUGUUUUUUUUAAUAUAGAUUGCUUACUACUAAAUUACUAUUAUUUAUUCAAAAUAUAUCUCCUACAUACAUACAACUAAAAAGACUAAAGAGUGGACAAUUUUUCGUGCAACAAUCGUCACCUUGCGUCGUUCGUCUGUCUGCCCCUGCGAUCCCCCACCAGCGUUCACCUCGCUUCCCCGCCCGACAGAAAAGGAAACCGCCAUCCGCGUCGCUCCUCCCGCAUUCGUCCUGAGAUCGCUCCCCAUCUCCUACGAUCACUCAUUCACUCCUCCAUCCCCUGCCGGGAUCCCGCUGCAAUCACGCAGAGCCGCCGCCGCCGCGCACGUCGCUACUUAUCCUCGCACCCUAUGGACGCACACGUCGACGCAUCUCAUGUCCUUGUCGCAACACCUGCGCGGCUGCGCCCCAUCUCUCCUUGCAUAGGUCCAAAUCCCACGGCGUGCCGCGGAUCCUGUAUUCCUGUUGGAACUAAGCGGCGGCAGUGGAGAAUGCACGCGGCGGCAUAGUGGGUGGCGGCAGCCGAAGAAGGGGCCUCCGUCUGCCCCGAUCUUGCCCCGUCACACCGCUCCCAUUGUUGCCGCCAUGAGCCUCUCCCUUCCAGCAAACCCGCCCUGCCCUCCUCCGCGUCGUCUCCUCUCCAAUACAGAGCAGGAGUGCCCUCAGAUCUGAGCGUCUUUGUCACCGUGGAGUCUGCCAUAGACACGUGGAUGCUCGACGGUGCGGGCUGCUUGACCCAACCGUAACCGGCGACUUGGCUUUCACCUCGCCGACGGGUGGUGCACGAGGCCAGAGCAGGCACAACACAGAGGGCCCGUGUGAGGUCAUGGCCGGCGGGACACUGGGUGGCAACUCGGCACAGGCACAGGGUAGCCCUGGCCCCUGCCCCGCUUGGGCGCAUGCAGCGACCCCAGCUCCAGUCUCAAUGUAGUCGCACGGGGCAACCACGAUGGUCUGCGACGAUGCACAAUUCAUUUGCCACAGGCAGACGCUUCGGAUGUGCUCGGCGGCCUGAUAGCUGCAGCGAAAUGGAUCGAGCCUGACUGUCUAUCUUGCCUAACCAAGAGCCUGAGAGCUAAAGUUCAUUCUCACCAACAUUGAGUACAUGGCUACUUUGCUCAUGGGUAGAGAGUUGUAUGCUAUAUCGGAGACUUCAACUCAUGUCUUUUAUUUGCAUCGAAGAUGAUGAUUGUUGGCCUUACAGAAAUAUUCAAAAGGAGGUGAGUUUUUAAAAUACUUUUGUUCUUCAAAGAAUUGUACAUCUUGUACAUUCAGAUUUCCAUUGCUACUAGAUCUGUGCAGUUCUUUUUCUCUUAGAAAAAGAAACAUCAUUGAACUUUAUAGUUGAGACACAAUUGAUCAGGCCUUAUCAACUAAAAUCUUUGAACCAACAAUAAUUGAUCCAGCGGGUUCACCCAAACCUUUAGAUGCACAUACUGCAGUUUAAGUUUCAGACACAAGAGAGGGAGGGAGGAGGGAACAUAGUGCUCUGCAAAAGUGAAGUAUGUCAAAGCGAAGACACAAUUGAUCAGGCCUUAUCAAUUAAAACCUUUCAACCAACGAUAAUUGAUCCAGUGGGUGCACCCCAAACCUUUAGAUACACGUACUGCAGUUUAAGUUUCAGACACAAGAGAGGGAGGGAGGAGGGAACAUAGUGCUCUGCAAAACUGAAGUAUAUCCAAACUAAGUCGUCAAUUUCAAACAAGAAAAUUAGAUAAAGGCUUAAUUUCUUUGGGCAGAUUUUUUUUUGUGGGCACCGUAUUUGUUGGGGAUACCUCAAUUUAGGAAGGAUUUCUAUGAACAAUGAUUAGAUAAAUUGGUGUGGUGAAUUCUGUGUUGGAAUGGUGCCUAUUUCUCUGGAAAGUUGGCAGCCCCAAAGGUUGCUUGGUCUAAUGAAAUCGAGAUAUCUGGUCAUUUUGUGCUAUAUUUAUAUUUUUCUUUUGCAUAUGCUUCAGUUUUUUUAAAGCUAGAUAUAUAAGCUAUUAAGUAAAGAUUUGGAUCUAAGUUCCUUUGCAAAACUACUCUUAGAUCAUAUUAUCGUUUUGCUUAAUACUGGAUAUUCUUUAAUUUGCAAAACUAUUGAAUAUGAAAGGGCCAACAUUUUCAAGAAAUAUGUUGUCCUUUUGCUUCAUCUGGACCGGCGCUGAUUUACAUCAUAUUAUUGUGGGUGGCAGUCCUGUUUGUGUCCUAUUUUGCAGGUAUUAUUUUGAAGACAAGGACAAUCAUGGAGUGUUUGCGCCGGUUUUGUAGGGACUGCAUAUAUAGAUCAAUGUGGCAUGGGGAUCGAAGCAGAAAUGAUUGAUCUAAAACAAGACGAAGACAAGAAGCGUGCUUGCGAGGAUGUGAUGGCGAUAGUUGAGACUCCAUACCAAAUUAGUAAGUUAACUUAUUAUUUAUCAUGCAUAGCUAUCAACUUUUCUCAAGACGGAAUUCUUGGUGGACAUCGCAUUUUGAAGAGCUAUGCAAAUGAAUACGGAAACAAUAUCCUUAGAGAACUCCAAAACCUACUUAUGGCCUUAAGCAAAUUAUAAAUUAGAUGGUUGAGACGAGACAUAUCUGUGACUUGUGUUAACUUUAUGAGCAUUGUUUUUUAGAUUAAAUAUCACUUUAAUAUUGGUAUUUAUUUUCAUAAUAUUAUUAUGUUAUCAUGCGAUCUUUAUGUUUUUAGUAUAAAAUUUUAGCCGUUCCCGUAGCAACGCACGGGCAUACUACCUAGUAAAGUAUAUAAAAUAACAACAUACAAAUUUUUACUUGCGGGGUAUUAAAGUAAAUUGUCAUUGUCACAGGUAUGUGGUUUGUUAAUAGAACAUUUUUUUAUGCUUGAUAGACUAUUAAAAUAAAUCCUAAUUAAUACAUCGUGGCAUAUUAUCUAUGCAUUUAAUUAAAUAUUUCAUUAUACUCCCUUUGUCCUAAAAAUAACUGCACAUCUCCUUUUUAAGGAAUCAAACUUUUGAAAUUUUAACCAAAUAUAUACAAAAGGAAGAAGUUCAUUUUUUGCCAUCUAUCACUUGAGUCUGAUUUCCAUCACUGAAUUCAAAAAUGGGAAAUCUUUGGCCUUCUAAUUAUUAGAACGAGGCAUGUUUGGCCAUCUACCUAGUGUCAUGGUGGCUUUCACUCACAUCGCAUGCACAUGGUAAUGAGACCCAUUUGUCACUUCCACCCCACCUAUUAUUUCUGUCUUCCUCUCUCCUCCCCCCUCUUUGUCUCCCCUUUUCCUUUCCCUAUUUUGUAUUCUCCACUGAAGCAAAGAACCACACAUGACAAAGCUCAUGUCGCCUCCCCCAAACUUCCCUCUAUCGCCCUUAAGCUCCACCUCCCUCUGACCAUCCUACAUGUGGCACCGACUUCUUCUAGCACCAUCUCCCUUGCUCAGUACAUGCUACACAAAUCAACCUAUUUAUAGCCAUUAGGAGUUUUGCCCAUAGAUCUAAGUGCUUUGAUUGAUGACAUUGGAUCAAAACCACCAUUAUUCAACACAUCAUGGAGAUGUGAUCACAUUUGUGCUUCUUUGUAUGUUGUCCAAGACAAGGCGAAGGAGUACCCUAGAGGGCCAGGCGACCAAGGGGUUAGUCAACCCAUUGGUGUACAUAUGGGUCCUGUAACACCCG